GACGAACGCUGGCGGCGUGCCUAAUACAUGCAAGUCGAGCGGACAGAAGGGAGCUUGCUCCCGGAAGUUAGCGGCGGACGGGUGAGUAACACGUGGGCAACCUACCCUGUAGAUCGGGAUAACAUCGAGAAAUCGGUGCUAAUACCGGAUAAUCAUUUGAAGUGCAUGCUUCGAAUGUAAAAGAUGGCUCCGGCCAUCACUACGGGAUGGGCCCGCGGCGCAUUAGCUAGUUGGUAAGGUAAUGGCUUACCAAGGAAACGAUGCGUAGCCGACCUGAGAGGGGGAGCGGCCACACUGGGACUGAGAAACGGCCCAGACUCCUACGGGAGGAAGCAGUAGGGAAUCUUCCGCAAUGGACGAAAGUCUGACGGAGCAACGCCGCGUGAGUGAGGAAGGUUUUCGGAUCGUAAAGCUCUGUUGUUAGGGAAGAACAAGUGCCGUUUGAAUAAGGCGGCACCUUGACGGUACCUAACCAGAAAGCCACGGCUAACUACGUGCCAGCCGCCGCCGUAACAC
rnacentral:rRNA from 1 species